rnacentral:misc_RNA from 1 species
UCUCCGUUGGUGAACCAGCGGAGGGAUCAUUACCGAGUUUACAACUCCCAAACCCAAUGUGAACGUCACCAAACUGUUGCCUCGGCGGGGUCACGCCCCGGGUGCGUCGCAGCCCCGGAACCAGGCGCCCGCCGGAGGAACCAACCAAACUCUUUCUGUAGUCCCCUCGCGGACGUUAUUUCUUACAGCUCUGAGCAAAAAUUCAAAAUGAAUCAAAACUUUCAACAACGGAUCUCUUGGUUCUG